UGGGGAAUAUUGCACAAUGGGGGAAACCCUGAUGCAGCGACGCCGCGUGAGCGAUGAAGUAUUUCGGUAUGUAAAGCUCUAUCAGCAGGGAAGAUAAUGACGGUACCUGACUAAGAAGCUCCGGCUAAAUACGUGCCAGCAGCCGCGGUAAUACGUAUGGAGCAAGCGUUAUCCGGAUUUACUGGGUGUAAAGGGAGCGUAGGCGGCAUGGCAAGUCUGAUGUGAAAGGCGGGGGCUCAACCCCUGGACUGCAUUGGAAACUGUCAAGCUAGAGUGUCGGAGGGGUAAGUGGAAUUCCUAGUGUAGCGGUGAAAUGCGUAGAUAUUAGGAGGAACACCAGUGGCGAAGGCGGCUUACUGGACGAUUACUGACGCUGAGGCUCGAAAGCGUGGGGAGCAAACAGGAUUAGAUACCCUGGUA
rnacentral:rRNA from 1 species